GCGGCUCCAGCACGUUCUGAGGGUGGAGUUCUCCACCCUCUGACGUCAGAAGGCCACACGUCAGCUGCUCGCGCAUGCCCACGUGGGGGGGGUCAGUAGUCUCAACCAGUCUUAACCGGCUCAAGCUCGAGCUAGACACUGCCGACUUCAAGUGCCUGAGAAACAACUUGGGCAAACAUCUUAUUGUUUAGGCCACUUGGAGGACAUGCAAGUUUUUUUGUAGCAACAGUUAAAGCAAGCUUGAUGCUGACGUCAGUACAGUUCAUUAUUUAUUAAGCAAGUUAUAGCUUAAUGGAUCUGAUGACUGCCCUCAGUUUCAAAAGGAGUGGACCCUCUUCUCACUGAUGCCAUGGACCAGCCCUGAGACAGACGGAGAUGGAGGUGAGAGUUCCAGACUCAGGACCUGUGUCCAGGAGACCCCUGUGUCACCCCCAGAGAAGCUGGUGUUUGAUCUCUGCCUUGAAGAAUGAGUAGACUUCCAGGUGGGGAAAGGACAUUCUGACAUGGAGAAGGAUGCGUGAGCUAAGGAAACAGGCAGUGGUGCCUCGUGACCGGCUAGUGGACGGUCAAGGGUUUCGUGGUUCACGGCGCAACGGCUGUUGGUGCAUAUUCUAUAAGAUGACCUCAGCGCAGGAGGAGAGGAACCAUCGGUUAACUAUGAAGGGACAGCUCGAGGAAUGCUGGAAUGUCCGCGUCAGCAUCGGCCUGAUCCGGCAGUUUGACGUGUGUCGAUGGAUGUCCCCUCUGUUGUUACGCGUGUAGAUAACGCCUGGGACUCCUGGGGAUCGGACCAGCAGGAUGUGAAGCUGGGCAUCGUGCUGUGCUGAGGACUUUGGACUUAAGCCUGAAGGCCCCGACACGAGCCACUGGCCCACGUCAAACUGGACCGCCCCACAGGAGUUUGUAAUCCUGGGUUUCUCCGGGCAGCCCCUGGGGCCCCGGGUGCUGCCCUUUGCCCUCCACCUGCCCCUCUGUUUGCCACGCUGGCAGGAAGCCUGCUGAUCCAGGGGCUGGCCGUGGUGAACGCCGCCCUGCACCCACCACGUACUUCUUCCUGGGGGACCUGUCUGCCGAGGAGGCGGCCUACGCGCCAGUGCUGACUCCGCGCGUGCUGGCCGGCCUCCUCCUGCCGCCUGGGGGCCGCCCAGAUGGGCCUCUUUGUGGCUCCGGCUGCCUGCUGCUGGGCCACUACCCGGCUGUCUGCCGCCCUCAGCUCACGACUGCGGGGCUCUGCUGGUGCCUUCUCGCCGCCUGCUGCGUUGGGGGCUCUCUCCUGGCCUUGGGCCUCACCACGGCCAUCUUCCAGCUGCCCUUCCGCCGUGGGGGCUUAGUCAACCACGUCUUCCGCGACCUCCCGGCCGUGUUGGUGUUGGCCUGCGGGAACCGGGACCUGCAGGAGCACGUCCUGCUGGCGGCCUGCGUGCUGCUGGCGGUGCUGCCUCUGGCCCUGAUCCUUCUCCUACGCCAGGGCGGUGCUGGUCAUCCUGGGGCAUUGCUGGGGCUGCGGGCCACCGCAAGGCCUUCAACACGGUGGCGUCCCAUCUCACGGUGGCCUGGCCAUGCUCCACGACGGCUGCGCCACGGCCGUGUACGCCAGGCCACCGAGCAGCCACUCCCUGGAGGAGGACAGGCUGGUCUCAUUCAUCUACAUCAACCUCACUUCCCCGCUCUACCCGGCCAUCUACACGCUGCGGAACCGGGACAUGCAGGGGGCACUGCAGCGGGUGGUCGGCCCCAGGACACCAGGCGCCGUCCACCAGGCUGAUGUCACCGAAUGCUGGAUGCCAGGUGGAGUCUGUUCUGAAAUCUCUCCACCACCCCCGGAUGGAAACCUCACAUUCCAGAACCAUCUGUGACUCCCCGAAGCCUACUGGACACAACCUGGGUGCAGCAGACAAGGACUCCAAAAUCAGACUCCAGCCUGCUGCUUCCGCAUCUAGUGACUUUUUUUUUUUUUUUAUGUGGACCGUUUUUAAAGUCUGUAUUGAGUUUGUUACAGCAUUGCUUCUGUUUUAUGUUUUUGGUUUUUUGGCCGUGAGCUAUGUGGGAUCUUAGCUCCCCGACCAGGGAUCGAACCCACACCCCCUGCACUGGAAGGUGAAGUCUUAACCAGUGGACCACAAGGAAGUUCCUCUAUUGACAUUUUGAGCUGGAGAGUUCUCUCUGGUGGCGGGGGGAUUGUCCCUGUGCAUUGUAGGGCGCUUAGCUGCACCCCUUGUCUCCACCCAGGAGAUGCCAGUAGCACACUCCACUCCCCCAUCCAAGUUGUGAUGAUCAAAAAUGUCACCAGACAUUGCCAAACAUCCCCUGGGGACAGAAUCACCCCUGGUUGAGAACCACUGCUCUGAAUCGUAGCCGCACAGAAUCUUUUGAAGAGGAGUGAGUAAGGAGUCUAUGGCAGCACUGUUUAUAAUAGACAAAAACUGGAAAUUAUCCAAACAUUCAUGAACAUAGAACAGAUACAAACAGCUUGUGGCAUAUGCAUGCAAUGGAAUACUACACAGCAAUGAAAAAGAAUGAACUACUGCUACUGGCAAAAAAAUAAGGACCACCCGGAUGUAAUACUGAGUGUAAGAAGCAAGACACAACACUUCUGGAUGCUUCCAUUGAAAUAAAGGCCAAUGACAAACUCAUCUGUGGCGGUUGAUGUCAUCAUAGUAGUUAACUGGGGGAAGGGUUUGAAUUGGCAGAGGGCACAGGGAGGUUGCCUGGGUACUGGAAACGUUCUAUGUCUUGACUUGGGUGGUGGUUACGUGGGUGUUUGUGCAGAACUUCACAGAGAUGCAUCCUUAAGAUCCAUGUAGUUUGUUGUACAUGAAAUGAACUGUGGCUGGUUCAAGCUAUUCACAAAGACAAGCCUUCAAAUCAUCAUGCCUUCACUCAUGCUGCUUUUUGCCCCUGGUACACUCUGUUUCCACUUAUGAAAAUCCCUUGUAUUAUUCAGUGAUCAGUCCAGAUACUGUACCUGUUGUAGACUGAAGGUGUCCCCACCCAAAUUCACAUGUUGAAAUCUAAUCACCAUUAUUAGUUUGUUAUUAGGGGGUGGGGUCUCUAGAAGUGAUUAGGUCAUGAAGGUGGAGCCCUCCUGAAUGGAAUUAGUGCCCUUAUGAAAGAGGCCUGGAAGAGCUCCCUCACCCCUUCUGCCCUGUGAGGACCCAACAAGAAAGCAGCUGUCUACGAGCCCGGAAGAAAGUUGUCACCACACUGAAGCUGCCGGCACCUUGAUCUUGGACUUCCAGCCUCCAGAACUGUGAGAGAUACAUUUCUGUUGUUUAUAAGCCUCCAGCUCUAUGGUAUUCUGUUGUAGUCGCCCGAAUGGACUAAAACGGCACCCUUUCCUUCCUCCUCUCAGUUACAACAGUUGUCACUCUAAAAUGUAAUUUCAGCGUCUGCUUCACCUCCCAAUCACCUGCCCACUCCCCCACUUCCCCACUCACAAUUAGGCUGUGAGCUCCAUAAAGCCAGAUUGCAGAUCCUGUUCUUAACAUUUUAAGAUCCAUGACCCUGGCAGUUCUUAAUAAAUGUUUGUUGGAGGAAUAAGCCAUAGACAAGCUCUGAGUUCUUUUGGGGUCUCACACACUGGCUGUAGGGAGGGGACACGGCUCUCGAGUCCUGCCAAGGACAAGAAUCUCUAAGACUGACUCCUCUUUGGGGUCUUAGAGCAUCAGAGCUGGCUGUGAAAACCCCAGCUGGACAGCUUGGACCCAACUUUCCAAGGCAGGGAGGCUUAGAAGCAACGCGUUUGUGUCUUGACAUAAUAAACUGCAUUCGGAAAACUUGAUAGCUCUGCUUGUACCCCCAAGGCCAGGGUCCCAGAUUCCGUGAGGGGGAACUUUUCCUAAAAAUGCCUCCUGAAGGGUCGGUCAGGAAAGUCUUAGAGCCAGGAUCAGUGCCGGUAAAUACCGCCUACCUAACCUCCUGGCUGGAGAAACCGCACGUCUAUGAAAACUGAUUCGAAGGCUGGGGAGAACUGAUCUGUGCAGGCAACGUGGGACACCAGAAUGCCUGUCAGCUGCCUCAGAAAUCUCCGCAUCUCCCAAGACCGGGUGAGGCCUGAGGGCCACCAGCAGUCCCGUUAUCCGCACUGUACAUGAUUGAGAGUGAUGACCACAACCAAAGAAACCUUUGCAUUUGACCGCCUGGUGGGGAGCCUUGGUGGGAGCUGUCAGGUUGCUGAGCACAGGUGGCUGCACCUGCUUUGGCGUUGAGGUAGUACAACACAAUGAUUCGCGACUUGUGUACAUUGCGAAAUGAUCACCGUGAUGACUGUAGUGAACAUCACUUCAUGUAAUUGCCAAAUUUUAUUUUCUUGUGAUAAGAACUUUCAAGAUUCACUCACUCAGCAACUUUCGAAGAUGCAAUACAGUUUCAAGUUUCAGCUUCUAAUUCUCUAUUACCCGCCACGCUGACAACUGACUUGGCCUUGGGGAUGUUACCAUAAAGGUCUGCAGUGGAAUCCCGGGCAGCCGGACUCAAGGCAGCUGCUUCCCCUCAGGGUGUCCCAAUCAGCCUCACUAGGAUCGGGCUCACCCCCACCAGCCCAGAGGCAGCAGGAUCACCGGAGCUGGGACCUCGGAGCCUAGAACCAGUGCUUUGGUGAGUCGGUGGUGGCUGAGUGCUCAUGGCAGGGUGCAUCUCAGCCCUCACCUGCCCCGACAGGACCUUUUGGAAACCGGGGCCAAGUCUCCUAACAGUCAGCAGCUGGGUCUGUGCCUGGAGUGGGGAAGUACACCCAAAGUCUAACACCCACUGGGGGAGUUCACCCUCUGCGGGGCAGCAACCUGUGGGAGACACAGCCACAGCCCGUUUGCCAGCCAAAGGCAUUUCUCCACCAGCCAAUUGCAAGACUCUACCAUCCUGUUCCCAACUGUGAAGACUUCGUGAAAUUAACACUUAAGUGGAGCACAGGGUGUAAGGACGAUGAGUGGGUUCAGCAACAGACCACGGAGAAAUCGAAAUCGGCAAGUUUAUUACUCACAGGGCCUGGACCAAGCACACAGCACACCGGGAGGGGCCCCAGGGCGGGUCAAGGCGGAGUGCAGACAGGGACUGGACUUGGC